UCUUAGUUGUGGCAUGAGGGAUCUUUAGUUGUGGUAUGCAAACUCUUGGUUGCAGCAUGUAGGAUCCAGUUCCCUGACUGGGAUAAGACC
rnacentral:pre_miRNA from 1 species